rnacentral:rRNA from 1 species
GUCGGGAGACUGAACCAGCCAAGCCGCGUGAGGGAUGGAGGUACAGAGUAUCGUAAACCUCUUUGUCAGGGAACAAAGGGCGCCACGUGUGGCGCUAUGAGGGUACCUGAAGAAAAAGCAUCGGCUAACUCCGUGCC